rnacentral:rRNA from 1 species
GUGCCAGCCGCCGCGGUAAUACCGGCAGCACGAGUGAUGGCCGCUGUUAUUGGGCCUAAAGCGUUCGUAGCCGGCCGAGCAAGUUCGUUGGGAAAUCUGCCCGCUUAACGGGCAGGCGUCCGGCGAAAACUGUUCGGCUUGGGGCCGGAAGAUCUGAGGGGUACGUCCGGGGUAGGAGUGAAAUCCCGUAAUCCUGGACGGACCACCGGUGGCGAAAGCGCCUCAGAAAAACGGACCCGACGGUGAGGGACGAAAGCUAGGGUCUCGAACCGGAUUAGAUACCCUAGUAGUCC